rnacentral:rRNA from 1 species
UACAGAGGGUGCAAGCGUUGUUCGGAAUUACUGGGCGUAAAGCGUCGAUGUAGGUGGCGAUGUAAGUCGGGUGUGAAAAUCCCCAUCAGCUUAACUGAGGAAGUGCACUCGAUACUGUGUCGCUUGAGUGUUGGAGGGGAUGGCGGAAUUCCCGGUGUAGAGGUGAAAUUCGUAGAUAUCGGGAGGAACACCUGUGGCGAAGGCGGCCAUCUGGACAACUACUGACACUGAGACGCGAAAGCGUGGGUAGCAAACAGG